rnacentral:rRNA from 1 species
CAGUAGCCGCGGUAAUACAGAGGGUGCAAGCGUUAAUCAGAUUUACUGGGCGUAAAGGGCGCGUAGGUGGUUAUGUAAGUGAGAUGUGAAAUCCCCGGGCUCAACCUGGGAACUGCAUCUUAUACCGCGUAGCUGGAGUGCAGUAGAGGGUAGUGGAAUUUCCGGUGUAGCGGUGAAAUGCGUAGAUAUCGGAAGGAACACCAGUGGCGAAGGCGGCUACCUGGACUGACACUGACACUGAGGCGCGAAAGCGUGGGGAGCAAACAGGAUUAGAUACCCCCGUAGUCCCUGUCUCUUAUAC